GACGAACGCUGGCGGCGUGCUUAACACAUGCAAGUCGAACGGACAGGCCCUGCUUUUGUGGGGUGCUCGAGUGGCGAACGGGUGAGUAACACGUGAGUAACCUGCCCUUGUCUUUGGGAUAACUUCAGGAAACUGGGGCUCAUACCGGAUAGGAGCUCCUGCUGCAUGGUGGGGGUUGGAAAGUUUCGGCGGUUGGGGAUGGACUCGCGGCUUAUCAGCUUGUUGGUGGGGUAGUGGCUUACCAAGGCUUUGACGGGUAGCCGGCCUGGGAGGGGGACCGGCCACAUGGGGACUGAGAGACGGCGCAGAAGCCUACGGGAGGCAGCAGUGGGGAAUAUUGCACAAUGGGCGGAAGCCUGAUGCAGCAACGCCGCGUGCGGGAUGACGGCCUACGGGUUGUAAACCGCUUUCGCCGGUGACGAAGCGGGAGUGACGGUAAUGGGUAAAGAAGCACCGGCUAACUACGUG
rnacentral:rRNA from 1 species